rnacentral:rRNA from 1 species
UACAGGGGGUGCAAACGUUGCUCGGAAUUAUUGGGCGUAAAGCGCACGUAGGCGGUCUGUUAUGUCGGAUGUGAAAGCCCCCGGCUCAACUGGGGAGGGUCACGCGAUACUGAUCGACUCGAAGGCAGGAGAGGGAAGUGGAAUUCCCGGUGUAGUGGUGAAAUGCGUAGAUAUCGGGAGGAACACCAGUGGCGAAGGCGACUUCCUGGCCUGUUCUUGACGCUGAGGCGCGAAAGCUAGGGGAGCAAACGGG